CCCUUAGACGUUCUGGGCCGCACGCGCGCUACACUGAUGCAUUCAACGAGUCUAAAACCUGCUCUGAUAGGGGUGGGUAAUCUUUUGAAUGUGCAUCGUGAUUGGGAUAGAUGAUUGCAAUUUUUCAUCUUCAACGAGGAAUGCCUAGUAAACGCAAGUCAUCAGCUUGCAUUGAUUACGUCCCUGCCCUUUGUACACACCGCCCGUCGCUCCUACCGAUUGAAUGAUCCGAUGAAUAUCAUGGAUUGAGGAUUAUAGCAGGUUCGCCUGUCUUGAUCUUCGAGAAGUGAAGUAAAUCUUAUCAUUUAGAGGAAGGAGAAGUCGUAACA
rnacentral:rRNA from 1 species